rnacentral:rRNA from 1 species
GACGAACGCUGGCGGCGUGCUUAACACAUGCAAGUCGAACGGAAAGGCCCUGCUUGCAGGGUGCUCGAGUGGCGAACGGGUGAGUAACACGUGGGUGAUCUGCCCCUUACUUUGGGAUAAGCCUGGGAAACUGGGUCUAAUACUGGAUAGGACCAUGCUGUAGGUGGUGUGGUGGAAAGAUUAGUUUCGGUAAGGGAUGAGCUCGCGGCCUAUCAGCUUGUUGGCGGGGUAAUGGCCUACCAAGGCGUCGACGGGUAGCCGGCCUGAGAGGGUGGACGGCCACAUUGGGACUGAGAUACGGCCCAGACGCCUACGGGAGGCAGCAGUGGGGAAUAUUGCACAAUGGGCGCAAGCCUGAUGCAGCGACGCCGCGUGGGGGAUGACGGCCUUCGGGUUGUAAACUCCUUUCAGCCAUGACGAAGCCCUUGUGGUGACGGUAGUGGUAGAAGAAGCACCGGCUAACUACGUG